rnacentral:antisense_RNA from 1 species
UUUCAUUAUACUAUUUUAAAGUUUGAAGUGAUUAAUUAGUCUUUUUUUUAAAGUGAACUAUUACAGUUUGGUUGAGAUUCGCAAACCAAUAAAGGUAAUUUUUUAAUCGUAUAAUUAGAUUUUGUGGAAAAAUCGUAAAUAGUUAUAUUUGGACAUUUAUAAAUACCAGGAUUACAAAUUUUAAGUGGAUACAAUAAAGUUGGAUUUUCAUAAAUAUUUUGUGAAUAUGAUGAAGAGUUAGGUUCUGGGAAAUAAUUUAUUGGCAUUGAAACGUACAAAGGAACAAUGGGUGAAUAUUGAUCAUACUCAACAGUUACAAGUAAAUUUAAUGAUUUAUCUCUUUCAAUAGGAAAUAUUUCAAUAAGUAAAUAAACAGUUUCACCUGGGUAUUUUGAAAUUCGAUCAAAAGUACAUGUUGCUUUAAAGUUAUAGUUUGAUUCUAUUUCCAAAUCAUUCUCAUUUUUUUGUAUUAUACUAUCAUUAUUGCUAUAAACUUCCAAGUUGUUAUUACAAUUACUUGAAUUUUCUUCAAGAUUAGAUUUUGAAGAGUAACAGACUUCUUGAGUGAAUGGAGAGCAAAUUGAUUGAACAGAAGCUUGUGGUGAACUUGGACUAAAUAAAUAAGAAGAAACUGCAGAAGAUGAUGAUGAGAAAGAUG